rnacentral:rRNA from 1 species
GACGAACGCUGGCGGCGUGCCUAAUACAUGCAAGUCGAGCGAAGUUUUUCUGGUGCUUGCACUAGAAAAACUUAGCGGCGAACGGGUGAGUAACACGUAAAGAACCUGCCUCAUAGACUGGGACAACUAUUGGAAACGAUAGCUAAUACCGGAUAACAGUAUUUCUCGCAUGAGAGAUAUUUAAAAGUUGGUUAUGCUAACACUAUGAGAUGGCUUUGCGGUGCAUUAGCUAGUUGGUGGGGUAAAGGCCUACCAAGGCGACGAUGCAUAGCCGACCUGAGAGGGUGAUCGGCCACACUGGGACUGAGACACGGCCCAGACUCCUACGGGAGGCAGCAGUAGGGAAUCUUCCGCAAUGGGCGAAAGCCUGACGGAGCAACGCCGCGUGAGUGAAGAAGGAUUUCGGUUCGUAAAGCUCUGUUGUUAGGGAAAGAAAUGGAUAUGUAGUAAACUAUACAUAUAAAGAA